ACAACUUGUAUGUAACAUCUCUCAAAACAAUUAGACUCAUCCCACAUGGGAAAGUGCUUGGACUGUCUGACGCUCCUGGCCAUAGCCUCUUGUAAUGUGGAAUGAACAUUUUCUUAAUAUUCGCUGAAGUAACUAACUAUUUCCAUACAUAAUGCUUGGGAACAGAGAGACAGAAAAAUUACUUGUCUGAGUCACGUGGGAAGUCUUCAUCAAGGCAAGGAAUUGAAUCCAGUCCUGAACCAUAUGAGAGAGAUGCGGUGACGUGGAGUAGGAGAGCAUUUGAAGAGGCAUCGUUACCUCUCCAGAAGUAGGACAUCAACUAUGUAUUUUUCAGAAGAUCUUCCAUCUACGUGUAAAUUUAGUCCAAGGCAGCUUGACAUAUGAAGUCAGAAGAGAUCAUGGCACUAGACAGCACAGAACAGACUCAUGUGAGAUGAUUCUAAUUGUGAUUUAAAUCAAGCAGGAAGGGGUCAAGAAUAUUACGCCGUGGUAGAAUGAGAUGAGGGAUGUUGAUGUA